GAAACAGAAUAUCAUAAUAGUAGCAGAACAAACAUGUAUCAGAACAGAAUAUGUUCUUGAAAGAGACAAGAAAACAAAUGCUUGAUAUCGUCAACAAUGUCACAAAGAAUAAAAGGUUUCAGAGCUGGACUAAGAACUUUAAGGACAUGAAAGUCAGUUCCUGCUUACCCUGCUAACAUAGAAUACCAGUGAUUUCCCAUACUACUGUUAAAAUGAAAGACGAGAAAGAAGAAAACAGAACACGUUGGCUGAAAGAAUAAAGGCCAGUUCAACUUCAAU
rnacentral:lncRNA from 1 species